UAGAGUUUGAUCCUGGCUCAGGAUNAACGCUGGCGGCGUGCCUAAUACAUGCAAGUCGAGCGAACAGAUAAGGAGCUUGCUCCUUUGACGUUAGCGGCGGACGGGUGAGUAACACGUGGGUAACCUACCUAUAAGACUGGGAUAACUUCGGGAAACCGGAGCUAAUACCGGAUAACAUUUGGAACCGCAUGGUUCUAAAGUGAAAGAUGGUUUUGCUAUCACUUAUAGAUGGACCCGCGCCGUAUUAGCUAGUUGGUAAGGUNACGGCUUACCAAGGCGACGAUACGUAGCCGACCUGAGAGGGUGAUCGGCCACACUGGAACUGAGACACGGUCCAGACUCCUACGGGAGGCAGCAGUAGGGAAUCUUCCUGCAAUGGGCGAAAGCCUGACGGAGCAACGCCGCGUGAGUGAUGAAGGGUUUCGGCUCGUAAAUACUCUGUUAUUAGGGAAGAACAAAUGUGUAAGUAAGCUGUGCACGU
rnacentral:rRNA from 1 species